CUAAACCCAAAGGCGCAAUGAAAGUGAAGGUCCGCCUUGCGCGGACCGAGGGAAGAUGGGAGGUCCGUCAGGAUCUCCCCGCACUCCCGGGGCGUCUCGUACUCAUCGCGAGUAGAGGCGCACCAAGAGCGUACACGCUGGGACCCGAAAGAUGGUGAACUAUGCCUGGUCAGGACGAAGUCAGGGGAAACCCUGAUGGAGGUCCGUAGCGAUUCUGACGUGCAAAUCGAUCGUCGGAACUGGGUAUAGGGGCGAAAGACUAAUCGAACCAUCUAGUAGCUGGUUCCCUCCGAAGUUUCCCUCAGGAUAGCUGGCGCUCGUCGCGUACGAGUCUCAUCCGGUAAAGCGAAUGAUUAGAGGCAUUGGGGUCGAAACGGCCUCAACCUAUUCUCAAACUUUAAAUGGGUGAGAUCUCCGGCUUGCUCGAACUAUUGAAGCCGCGAGACACGGAUCAGAGUGCCAAGUGGGCCAUUUUUGGUAAGCAGAACUGGCGCUGUGGGAUGAACCAAACGCCGAGUUAAAGCGCCUAAAUCGACGCUUAUGGGAUACCAUGAAAGGCGUUGGUAACUUAAGACAGCAGGACGGUGGCCAUGGAAGUCGGAAUCCG
rnacentral:rRNA from 1 species